ensembl:snRNA U6 U6 spliceosomal RNA
GUGCUUGCUUCAGCAGCACAUAUACUAAAAUUGGGAUGAUACAGAGAUUAGCGUGGCCUCUGCACAAGGAUGACAGGCAAAUUCGUGAAGUGUUCCAAAUUUUU